rnacentral:lncRNA from 1 species
CCAACGUAUUUUCCAAUUAGGAUAGUAUUAUAAGAAUAUGUACAUAACUCCCAGCAUUCGAAUUUUGUUUGCAUGCAAAUAUACAUCAAAUUCUUAGCAAAAUCAGCACUACAUCCAAAUUCAAAGAAAAUUCAGCAUUAGAAGAAUGUGCAUGCAUGCCUAGAUCAUGCAUGCCUUGCUUUCUUCUUACUUCUUUGUCAUAGUGCUCGCGAUGAAACAUGAAUGAAAGCCAUCAUCUGAAUGUUAUAAAAUAGAAUGAUUAAAAACAAAGAAAAGCACAUCUGACAACAUGUUAAGUUGGAUGCAGUCUGUACACAAAUAAAAAUAGAAGAACAAAAC